AUGACAAAGGUGGAUAUCAAGGUGUACUUUUCAGAGGAUGCUGUGGCACCCUCUGACUGGACUAUUUACACUGGAAAGAACUACUUUCCCACAGAUAUGGAUUGGGACAACUCCUCUGUGACUGAUGCAGUCCUCCAGGUGAGCGGUUGUCUCCGGUUGAGAGUAUGCUGUGCGCGAUUGGCUGCUGCUUCUCACUGGUGUGUGUUGCUCUAUUGGAAACACUGCUGUUCCAGAUGUACAGAAUGGAAUAUGACAGCGUGACCGUUCACUGGGCUCUAAUGACCGAGGAUCUACACGCCAGCGCUUUAUGAGGGACGAAGACGGAUUAUAAUUGGACGUUAUUGCCUCUGGCAUAAUUCUUUAUAAUGGCUCCUUCAUUGUUCACAUUACAAUACGUUCAGAUCUACCUCUUCUUUAUAAUAAGGUGCUGUCACUGUCAUGCAUGCAUAUUUAAAAGCGAGGGGGAGGGGUCUUAUACAUGAGAUUGGAGCAGAUUUUAAUGUAUGGUAGAAAUUAUAAGUACGUUUUUAAUUUGUAAUAAGGGUGUUAUAAACAAUAUUUUCUUUUGUAAUUAACAUUUUGACAUGUUGAUUAUAAUUAAACUAUAAUUCAUUUUAAU
rnacentral:lncRNA from 1 species